rnacentral:rRNA from 1 species
AUACGGAGGAUGCGAGCGUUAUCCGGAUUUAUUGGGUUUAAAGGGAGCGUAGGUGGGAUAUUAAGUCAGCUGUGAAAGUUUGGGGCUCAACCUUAAAAUUGCAGUUGAUACUGGUUUCCUUGAGUACGGUACAGGUGGGCGGAAUUCGUGGUGUAGCGGUGGAAUGCUUAGAUAUCACGAAGAACUCCGAUCGCGAAGGCAGCUCACCGGGCCGGAACUGACACUGAUGCUCGAAAGUGCGGGUAUCAAACAGGAUUAGAUACCCUGGUAGUCCGCACAGUAAACGAUGAAUACUCGCUGUUUGCGAUACACUGUAAGCGGCCAAGCGAAAGCGUUAAGUAUUCCACCUGGGGAGUACGCCGGCAACGGUGAAACUCAAAUGAAUUGACGGGG